rnacentral:rRNA from 1 species
CACGUAGGGUGCGAGCGUUGUCCGGAAUUAUUGGGCGUAAAGAGCUCGUAGGCGGUGUGUCGCGUCGGCCGUGAAAACUUUCAGCUUAACUGGGAGCUUGCGGUCGAUACGGGCAUCACUGGAGUUCGGCAGGGGAGACUGGAAUUCCUGGUGUAGCGGUGAAAUGCGCAGAUAUCAGGAGGAACACCGGUGGCGAAGGCGGGUCUCUGGGCCGAUACUGACGCUGAGGAGCGAAAGCGUGGGGAGCGAACAGGAUUAGAUACCUUGUA